CGCCCCCAGUGCGCGCUCAGAUACCUACGCCCCGCCUCCUUGCGCAGACGCAGAGCGAGAAAAAUUGGGUUUAUUGGGGGGCGCGUGCGCAAAAUGAAGUAUGCCCUGCGGCCUCAGACGGCGUCAAGCUGGGUAAAUUGGGUUCCCGCCUAGGUUCCGGAGUAUCCGGAGUCGCGCCUCGGGAAAAGACGGAAUCUAGAACUGGCCCCACUACCUAACAUCAGAGCGUUUUACGACUAUUGUUUGGAGUUGAUGGUGCAGGGCACAUGGGGUGUCCUGACCCUCUAUUAUUGCAACCUGAACCCCUCAUUCACAGAAUAUCUAUAGAACUCCUUCUGGAUGGCCAUUAGGUGGGAAUGGGGUAGCGCCACCAAACCAAGUCCUGAAUGAGGUCAGCUGAGCUCUGCCUCCCAGAACCUGGAGGGAGUGCUGUCAUGGCAACCAGAUGGCCUAAGCAGCGCUGCACCGGGAUCUGUGCUGUCUGCUCGCAGUAUCACUGUGGCCAGUGCAGAGAGAGGGGCCAGUCAGAGUGAGGCUGUUCAGCUGGCAGGGAGGCCAUGCUGGGAUGCAUCCGCUACCUCGUGCUCUCCCUGGGGGGCAAGAAGACUAAGGCCUCCGAGGAGCACCUCCCCCUCCCCUGGAGGAAGUGAGAAGCCUAGUGCAGUUCCAGCCUCCAUCCCUGCUGUUUCCUCUCCGAGGGGCUGGAGGAGGAACUGGAGUGGAGUGUCUACACUUUAAACAAUGACUUUCAAACUGCAAACAAGAGAAACUAAGCUUCGAACAAGUGUCUUCAACUGGAAAAGCACAGUUUUGAAACUGCAGAGAAACAUGGGUAUAGCAUGGAUCUUUUCAAAAGCUGAGUGGUACUUCUCCACGGGCAGCCUGGAUUCCUAAAUGUUUGGACAAGGGGCCUAAGUGCUUAUUUUACACACCAAAACAGACCUAGCCUCCAUGUUUUCCCAGCAUCCCUCAACUAACUCUCUCUCUCUCUCUCUCUCUCUCUCUCUCUCUCUCUCUCUCUCUCUCUCUGCCAGUGCCCCUUUCUCUCUUUCUCCCUCCCCUAUUCCCUAUUGACCCUGUCUCCCAGCAGCAACUGUCCUGGCCUUGGUCCUUGGGCCACUGGAGAGCAGGUUCCCAAUAAAUCUACCUUUAAUCUAA